rnacentral:rRNA from 1 species
AUACGUAGGUGGCAAGCGUUAUCCGGAUUUACUGGGUGUAAAGGGUGCGUAGGCGGGACUGCAAGUCAGAUGUGAAAUGCCGGGGCUCAACCCCGGAGCUGCAUUUGAAACUGUGGUUCUUGAGUGAGGUAGAGGUAAGCGGAAUUCCUAGUGUAGCGGUGAAAUGCGUAGAUAUUAGGAGGAACAUCGGUGGCGAAGGCGGCUUACUGGGCCUUUACUGACGCUGAGGCACGAAAGCGUGGGGAGCAAACAGGAUUAGAUACCCUGGUAGUCCACGCUGUAAACGAUGAAUACUAGGUGUAGGGGGUAUCGACUCCCUCUGUGCCGCAGUUAACACAAUAAGUAUUCCGCCUGGGGAGUACGGCCGCAAGGUUGAAACUCAAAUGAAUUGGCGGGG